GUGCUCGCUUUGAUAGCACAUAUACUAAAAUUGGUACAACACGGAGAAGAUUAGCAUGGCCCCUGCACAAGGAUGUCACGCAAAUUCAUGAAGUGUUCCAUAUUUUU
ensembl:snRNA U6 U6 spliceosomal RNA